UACAGAGGUCCCAAGCGUUGUUCGGAUUCACUGGGCGUAAAGGGUGCGUAGGUGGUGAGGUAAGUCGGAUGUGAAAGCUCGGAGCUCAACUCCGAAAUGGCAUUGGAAACUACCUCGCUAGAGGAUCGGAGGGGAGACUGGAAUUCUCGGUGUAGCAGUGAAAUGCGUAGAUAUCGAGAGGAACACCUGCGGCGAAGGCGGGUUGCUGGGCUGACACUGACGCUGAGGCGCGAAAGCCAGGGGAGCGAACGGG
rnacentral:rRNA from 1 species